AAUACGACUCUUGGCGAUGGAUAUCUCAGCACUCGCAUCGAUGAAGAACGUAGCAAAAUGCGAUACUUGCUGUGAAUUUCAAAAUCCCGUGAACCAUCGAGUUUUUGAAUGCAAGUUGCGCCUGAGACCUUUAGGUCGAGGGUACAUCUGCUUGGGCAUCAAA
rnacentral:rRNA from 1 species